UUGUCUCAAAGAUUAAGCCAUGCAUGUCUCAGUACAAGCCGAAUUAAGGUGAAACCGCGAAAGGCUCAUUAAAUCAGUUAUGGUUCCUUAGAUCGUACCCACAUUUACUUGGAUAACUGUGGUAAUUCUAGAGCUAAUACAUGCAAACAGAGCUCCAACCGGAAACGGAAGGAGCGCUUUUAUUAGAUCAAAACCAAUCGGUGUCGGUUCUCCGUCAUCGUACAACUUGGUGACUCUGAAUAACUUUACGCUGAUCGCACGGUCUCGCACCGGCGACGCAUCUUUCAAAUGUCUGCCUUAUCAACUGUCGAUGGUAGGUUCUGCGCCUACCAUGGUUGUAACGGGUAACGGGGAAUCAGGGUUCGAUUCCGGAGAGGGAGCCUGAGAAACGGCUACCACAUCCAAGGAAGGCAGCAGGCGCGCAAAUUACCCACUCCCGGCACGGGGAGGUAGUGACGAAAAAUAACGAUACGGGACUCAUCCGAGGCCCCGUAAUCGGAAUGAGUACACUCUAAACCCUUUAACGAGGAUCAAUUGGAGGGCAAGUCUGGUGCCAGCAGCCGCGGUAAUUCCAGCUCCAAUAGCGUAUAUUAAAGUUGUUGCGGUUAAAAAGCUCGUAGUCGAAUCUGUGUCCCGCGCCGCCGGUUCAUCGUUCGCGGUGUUAACUGGCGUGCCGCGGGACGUCCUGCCGGUGGGCUUAGCUCGAGAGGGCGGCCCAACUCAAUCCCGCCGCGGUGCUCUUCAUUGAGUGUCGAGGUGGGCCGGCACGUUUACUUUGAACAAAUUAGAGUGCUUAAAGCAGGCUAAAACUUCGCCUGAAUACUGUGUGCAUGGAAUAAUGGAAUAGGACCUCGGUUCUAUUUUGUUGGUUUUCGGAACCCCGAGGUAAUGAUUAAUAGGAACGGAUGGGGGCAUUCGUAUUGCGACGUUAGAGGUGAAAUUCUUGGAUCGUCGCAAGACGGACAGAAGCGAAAGCAUUUGCCAAAAACGCUUUCAUUGAUCAAGAACGAAAGUUAGAGGUUCGAAGGCGAUCAGAUACCGCCCUAGUUCUAACCAUAAACGAUGCCAGCUAGCGAUCCGCCGACGUUCUUCCGAUGACUCGGCGGGCAGCUUCCGGGAAACCAAAGCUUUUGGGUUCCGGGGGAAGUAUGGUUGCAAAGCUGAAACUUAAAGGAAUUGACGGAAGGGCACCACCAGGAGUGGAGCCUGCGGCUUAAUU
rnacentral:rRNA from 2 species